UGGGGAAUAUUGGACAAUGGACCAAAAGUCUGAUCCAGCAAUUCUGUGUGCACGAUGACGUUUUUCGGAAUGUAAAGUGCUUUCAGUUGGGAAGAAAAAAAUGACGGUACCAACAGAAGAAGUGACGGCUAAAUACGUGCCAGCAGCCGCGGUAAUACGUAUGUCACAAGCGUUAUCCGGAUUUAUUGGGCGUAAAGCGCAUCUAGGUGGUUAUGUAAGUCUGAUGUGAAAAUGCAGGGCUCAACUCUGUAUUGCGUUGGAAACUGCAUGACUAGAGUACUGGAGAGGUAAGCGGAACUACAAGUGUAGAGGUGAAAUUCGUAGAUAUUUGUAGGAAUGCCGAUGGGGAAGCCAGCUUACUGGACAGAUACUGACGCUAAAGCGCGAAAGCGUGGGUAGCAAACAGGAUUAGAUACCCUGGUAGUCCACGCCGUAAACGAUGAUUACUAGGUGUUGGGGGUCGAACCUCAGCGCCCAAGCUAACGCGAUAAGUAAUCCGCCUGGGGAGUACGUACGCAAGUAUG
rnacentral:rRNA from 1 species